CGGGGGGCAGCAGUGGGGAAUUUUGGACAAUGGGCGGAAGCCUGAUCCAGCCAUGCCGCGUGUCUGAAGAAGGCCUUAGGGUUGUAAAGGACUUUUGUUGGGGAGCAAAUGCUGAUCGCUAAUACCGAUUGGAGCUGAGAGUACCCAAAGAAUAAGCACCGGCUAACUACGUGCCAGCAGCCGCGGUAAUACGUAGGGUGCAAGCGUUAAUCGGAAUUACUGGGCGUAAAGGGUAUGCAGGCGGUUUUGUAAGCUUGAUGUGAAAUCCCCGGGCUUAACCUGGGAACUGCAUUGAGAACUACAAGACUAGAGUGUGUCAGAGGGGGGUGGAAUUCCGCGUGUAGCAGUGAAAUGCGUAGAGAUGCGGAGGAACACCGAUGGCGAAGGCAGCCCCCUGGGAUAACACUGACGCUCAGAUACGAAAGCGUGGGUAGCAAACAGGAUUAGAUACCCGAGU
rnacentral:rRNA from 1 species